CUCCAUGGUCACAAACUUGUGCCACCACCAUCAAUUAAAAUCCAAAAACGCAAGAACCAUGACCCCUAACUCCAAAUUUAAAAAAAAAAAAAAAAGAACACAAGUACAGGAAAUCCCCAAAAUCCAAUUUGAAAAAGAUUUCAACUCUUCCAAUAGUAACAUCAGAAAAACCAAGAACAAAAACCCCAAAAAAUUCCCAAAUUCAGAAACCCUAAAAC
rnacentral:lncRNA from 1 species